UGGGGAAUAUUGCGCAAUGGGCGAAAGCCUGACGCAGCGACGCCGCGUGGAGGAUGAAGGUCUUAGGAUUGUAAACUCCUGUCAGAUGGAAAGAAAAGUUUGUAUUUAAUAGAUACAAAAUAUGACGGUACCAUCAGAGGAAGCACCGGCUAACUUCGUGCCAGCAGCCGCGGUAAUACGAAGGGUGCAAGCGUUAUUCGGAAUCACUGGGCGUAAAGGGUGUGUAGACGGUUCAUUAAGUUCGUUGUUAAAGGCUCUGGCCUAACCGGAGUAUUGCGAUGAAAACUGGUGAGCUAGAGAGUGAGAGAGAGAAGUGGAAUUCCCGGAGUAGCGGUAAAAUGCGUGGAUCUCGGGAGGAACACCAAUGGCGAAGGCAGCUUCUUGGCUCAUUUCUGACGUUGAGGCACGAAAGCGUGGGGAGCAAACAGGAUUAGAUACCCGUGUAGUCC
rnacentral:rRNA from 1 species